rnacentral:rRNA from 1 species
GAUGAACGCUGGCGGCGUGCCUAAUACAUGCAAGUCGAGCGAACAGACGAGGAGCUUGCUCCUCUGACGUUAGCGGCGGACGGGUGAGUAACACGUGGAUAACCUACCUAUAAGACUGGGAUAACUUCGGGAAACCGGAGCUAAUACCGGAUAAUAUAUUGAACCGCAUGGUUCAAUAGUGAAAGACGGUUUUGCUGUCACUUAUAGAUGGAUCCGCGCCGCAUUAGCUAGUUGGUAAGGUAACGGCUUACCAAGGCAACGAUGCGUAGCCGACCUGAGAGGGGGGACGGGCCGACAGGGACCGGAACCCGGGCCCAGCCCCCUACGGGGGCCACCAGUGGGGAAUCUUCCGCAUGGGGGGAAACCCUGCCGGGGCACCCCCCCGGGGGUGAUGAAGGUCUGCGGGUCGUAAACCUCUGUUAUUGGGGAAGAAAAAAUGUUAAAGUAACUAUCCCCGUUUUGGCGGUACCUAAAAAGAAAGCCACGGCUAACUCCGC